rnacentral:rRNA from 1 species
AUGGAAUUAAGAUUUCCCAGGUUUAGCCAAGGCUUAGCUCAGGACCCCACUACUCGUCGUAUUUGGUUUGUUAUUGCUACCGCACAUGAUUUCAAAAGUCAUGACGAUAUUACUGAAGAACGUCUUUAUCAGUACAUUUUUGCUUCUCACUUUGGGCAAUUAGCAAUAAUCUUUCUAUGGACGUCCGGAAAUCUGUUUCAUGUAGCUUGGCAAGGAAAUUUUGAAUCAUGGAUACAGGAUCCUUUACACGUAAGACCUAUUGCUCAUGCGAUUUGGGAUCCUCAUUUUGGUCAACCCGCUGUGGAAGCCUUUACUCGAGGAGGUGCUGCUGGUCCAGUGAAUAUAGCUUAUUCUGGAGUUUAUCAGUGGUGGUAUACAAUAGGAUUACGCACCAAUGAGGAUCUUUAUAUUGGAGCUCUUUUUCUAUUAUUUCUUUCUAUGUUGUCCUUAAUAGCGGGUUGGUUACAUCUACAACCCAAAUGGAAACCAAGCCUUUCGUGGUUCAAAAACGCGGAAUCUCGUCUCAAUCAUCAUUUGUCAGGACUUUUCGGGGUAAGUUCUUUGGCUUGGACAGGACAUUUAGUUCAUGUUGCUAUUCCCGCAUCCAGGGGGUACGUUCGAUGGAAUAAUUUCUUAGAUGUAUUACCCUAUCCCCAGGGGUUGGGACCCCUUUUGACGGGUCAAUGGAAUCUUUAUGCCCAAAACCCUGAUUCGAGUAAUCAUUUAUUUGGUAUCGCUCAAGGAGCGGGAACUGCCAUUCUAACUCUUCUUGGGGGAUUCCAUCCACAAACGCAAAGUUUGUGGCUGACCGAUAUGGCUCACCAUCAUUUAGCUAUUGCAUUUAUUUUUCUCAUUGCCGGUCACAUGUAUCGAACUAACUUCAGAAUUGGGCACAGUAUUAAAGAUCUUUUAGAAGCGCAUACUCCUCCGGGGGAUCGAUUAGGGCGUGGGCAUAAGGGCCUUUAUGACACAAUCAACAAUUCGAUUCAUUUUCAGUUAGGUCUUGCUCUAGCUUCUUUAGGGGUUAUUACUUCCUUAGUAGCUCAACAUAUGUACUCUUUACCUCCUUAUGCAUUCAUAGCACAAGACUUUACUACUCAAGCUGCUUUAUAUACUCAUCACCAAUAUAUUGCAGGGUUCAUCAUGACAGGGGCUUUUGCUCAUGGAGCUAUUUUUUUCAUUAGGGAUUACAAUCCGGAACAGAAUGAGGAUAAUGUAUUGGCAAGAAUGUUAGACCAUAAAGAAGCUAUCAUAUCUCAUUUAAGUUAGGCUAGCCUCUUUCUAGGAUUCCAUACCUUGGGCCUUUAUGUUCAUAACGACGUCAUGCUUGCUUUUGGUACUCCAGAAAAGCAAAUCUUGAUCGAACCUAUAUUUGCCCAAUGGAUACAAUCUGCUCAUGGCAAGACGAUAUAUGGGUUCGAUAUACUCUUAUCUUCAACGAAUGGCCCCGCUUUCAAUGCGGGUCGAAGCCUAUGGUUGCCCGGAUGGUUGAAUGCUGUUAAUGAGAAUAGUAAUUCGCUUUUCUUAACAAUAGGACCUGGGGAUUUCUUGGUUCAUCAUGCUAUCGCUCUACGUUUGCAUACAACUACAUUGAUUUUAGUAAAGGGCGCUUUAGAUGCACGCGGUUCCAAAUUAAUGCCAGAUAAAAAGGAUUUUGGAUAUAGUUUUCCUUGUGACGGCCCAGGGCGCGGCGGUACUUGUGAUAUUUCUGCUUGGGACGCAUUUUAUUUGGCAGUUUUCUGGAUGUUAAGUACCAUUGGGUGGGUUACUUUUUAUUGGCAUUGGAAACAUAUCACAUUAUGGCAGGGCAACGUUUCACAAUUUAAUGAAUCCUCCACUUAUUUGAUGGGAUGGUUAAGAGAUUACCUAUGGUUAAACUCUUCACAACUUAUCAAUGGAUAUAAUCCUUUUGGGAUGAAUAGUUUAUCGGUAUGGGCGUGGAUGUUCUUAUUUGGACAUCUUGUUUGGGCUACUGGAUUUAUGUUCUUAAUUUCCUGGCGGGGGUAUUGGCAGGAAUUAAUUGAGACUUCAGCAUGGGCUCAUGAACGCACACCUUUAGCUAAUUUAAUUCGCUGGAGAGAUAAGCCCGUGGCUCUUUCCAUUGUGCAAGCAAGAUUGGUUGGAUUAGCUCAUUUUUUCGUGGGUUAUAUAUCCACUUAUGCAGCUUUCUUGAUUGCCUCAACAUCAGGAAAGUUUGGUUAA